GACGAACGCUGGCGGCGUGCUUAACACAUGCAAGUCGAACGGAAAGGCCCUGCUUUUGUGGGGCGCUCGAGUGGCGAAAGGGUGAGUAACACGUGAGUAACCUGCCCUUGACUUUGGGAUAACUUCAGGAAACUGGGGCUAAUACCGGAUAGGAGCUCCUGCUGCAUGGUGGGGGUUGGAAAGUUUCGGCGGUUGGGGAUGGACUCGCGGCUUAUCAGCUUGUUGGUGGGGUAGUGGCUUACCAAGGCUUUGACGGGUAGCCGGCCUGAGAGGGUGACCGGCCACAUUGGGACUGAGAUACGGCCCAGACUCCUACGGGAGGCAGCAGUGGGGAAUAUUGCACAAUGGGCGGAAGCCUGAUGCAGCAACGCCGCGUGCGGGAUGACGGCCUUCGGGUUGUAAACCGCUUUCGCCUGUGACGAAGCGUGAGUGACGGUAAUGGGUAAAGAAGCACCGGCUAACUACGUG
rnacentral:rRNA from 1 species